rnacentral:rRNA from 1 species
ACGCUCGACACCUACGGGAGACAGCAGUGGGGAAUAUUGCACAAUGGGGGAAACCCUGAUGCAGCGACGCCGCGUGGAGGAAGAAGGUCUUCGGAUUGUAAACUCCUGUUGUUGGGGAAAAAGAGGAUGAUACCCAACAAGGAAGUGACGGCUAACUACGUGCCGNNCGCAGUAAUACUNGCGGCGNGNGAGAG